rnacentral:lncRNA from 1 species
AUCUUACACUGUGUCCCAACUCAGAUUUGCUCCACUUCCAGUGGACCUGACAGACCUUACCCAUGCAGUGAGAAUUGGCAACUCCAAGCUCCUUCCCCAGGAACUACACUCAGCAUCUCAGCAUCAAGCUGCCAUGGCUGCGAAAGGUGUCUGUGAGCAUCUGGGCUUUAUCUCCAUAUAUUUUGUGCACCAAUUGGCAAGAGGUGUCCUAAGGCCUCCUUGCUGUUCCUGGAGCUCCCCAGAAGAGCUCAGGGCUGGAGCUCUUUGUUUUGUCUGCAUCUGGAUGGAUCUUCCUGAGGAUGAGAAAUGUUUGGAACUGGAAGGAACUGCAGUGGUCAGCUACAUAGACAUCGCUCCUAUAUGAGCGUUUAUGAUACAGCUCUCUGUGUUUGGAUAUAGCGAUCCUAAAAAGCAGCCUUGGCUUCAAGUUAAAGCAUCUGUGGAUGGAAAUGACCCAUCUUUCACCCUCAUGAAGCUUGUCUGUAAAGCAGACCAAAGGGAAGGGGGAAUUCCCACCCUGUCUCAUUACUGUCCAAGCCGACAUACUUCCCCUUCAGGAUGCUUUGAGAGAAGGAGGGACUGUCUGCUGCUGUCAGAGGGAUUUCAAAGAACACACUGUUCCCAGGCUUCAGAUCUCCCUGAUUGCUUCAUUGGUCUCUUAAGAUAACCAUAUGUUAUGUGCAAAGGGCAGCUUUAAAACAAAACAAAAUAGUCCCACCCUGUUUGGAAGCUUGUUGAUUCUAAAUGCUACACCACUGCGGGUAGCCCUCUGGGUUUAUUUAUUAGUGAGGGACACGGACAUGGAAGCUCUGCUGGCUUCCAUCCUUGUUCAUUUUAAAAAACGGCAGGCCCAAGGAGAGUUAACAAAAUUGUAUAUCUAAAAUGUUUGCACUGGAGUUCCUGUGGUGGCUCAAUGGUUAAUGAACCCGACUAGUAUCAUCGAGGAUGUAGGUUCGAUCCUUGGCCUUACUCAGUGGGUUAAGGAUCUGGCAUUGCCAUGAGCUGUAGUGUAGGUCUCAGACGCAGCUUAGAUCCCAAGUUGCUGUGGCUGUGGUGUAGGCCAGCAGCUACAGCUCUGCUUCGACCCCUAGCCUGGGAACCUCCAUAUGCUGCAGGUACAGCCCUAGAAAGACAAAAAGACAAAUAAUAAUAAUAAUAAUAAAAUGUUUGCACUGAAAAAGAUAAUCAUUUUUAGUGGACAAAUUCAGUGCAAUUUGUAUUAUUAAUUAUAUAAUUGUAAGACUUAUUUAGACAUUAAUUUAUAAAGCCCACUAGCAAUGGAAUAAAUACCCAUGGCACACAAAUUUAAAGCAGAAUGUCUGUCUGUCUAUCUAUCUAUCUAUCUAUCUAUGCUGAGCACUCUAUUCAAUCUGGGAUUCAUCAGUGAACAAAGCAUUCCGAACCUCAAGUAUAUACUCAGAUGGUCAGAGCAGUCUGCAGCCCAGCCCAGCUGCCAGCCAGAGAUGCGGAAGGGCAGUGGCUGCCUCUGCUCCCAGCCACCACUCCACACUUCUGCUCACAGGGCAGCAACAGACCCAGCUGGGUUCUGGGUCAUCCGUGUUCCCAGCACUGAUUCUGGAGCCUAAGAAAGAUGGAGUUGUGUUUUGCAGGCCGUGGAGCAGGGUCUCUGCCCUCUACACUCUCCAUGUCAACAGCACCCUCCUUCUAGAUCGUGGUGACCAAAAGAUGUCUCCAGACAUUGCUAAAUGUCACUCCGGGUGCAACAUCGCUGCCAGUGGAGGAAAAACCGUGAAUGAGAACAUCCUGGAGUCCUUGGGCAUGACUUCUGACAUGAAGCCCUCCUGGAUCACUCAGAUGGCUGCAUGUGACCUGAACCAGACCCCGUAGGUAUUUAUAAGCCUACCUGCACGAGGCUUUCUGUGGUCCUGAGUCUGAAGGAUGCUACAGAAAGCUGGGCUGCGCCGCAGAGGCCCUUCGGCAAAGGAAGAGCAGGAAUUUGUUCUCAAUAAAUAAUAGACUCUGGAUGGCAAGGCUCUAUCUGAGCCAAUGUGAAGAUGGUCAUUUGAUGACCUUAUGUUUCUAACAGUUUCUGGAGUCAAGGAACUUGGAGGGGGUGAGGGUUGGACUCUGAGCCACCCGUUGUUCUUGCUAAGUGUGGCUCACUCUAGGAGGCAAAAGCAUGAGAAUAUCAGUUCUCCAAUUUUCUUCAGCCCUCUGCUUGAGAAAAGAAUACCAAGUUCCAAGGAAAGACUUCUGGAUCAUUAGCAGAACGGGACUGACUCUGCUCUCCCUUUGUACUGUUAGCCCCCAGCUCACUCCUGUCCCUAGGAAAAGUUUCAUCAGGCUUGAGUCCCCACCAAAAUGUCCCAGUAUGCCAGUUUGACCAGACAGUUCGGAUUCCACAUGUACAACUCAACAGAGGACACAAAAAUUUAAUCCGAUAAGUGUAAAAUUGCAGCCCCUCAUAGUUGGGGGUUGGCCUGCCUUUCAGCUCAUGCAGCUCACAGCCACCAACCAGCAUAGAAAGAAGGGUGUGAAUGGCUAUAAAAGAGGAAGGUGACAGCAGCAUGUCUCAAAGUUCUGCAAGAGUUUUCAAAGGAAAAGGAAACUGAAAAAGGAAAGAAACACAGUCAACAUUUAUCCGUGUACUGUCAUCUUUUCAAUGAAUUUCUUUCCAUCCAAUUGCCACAGCGUGUAAGGGGCCAGAUAAGGCUUCACAGCGCUAGACUAGUUCCAUCUUGUGCAGAAAUGUUGAACUUGUACCUCUCUCUGGAACAUGCUCCUUUGGGGAGAAGUUUAGGGAGCAUGGGAUCUGGGUGCUGAGAUGAGGUCCAAUUCAUGGAGACAAGCAAGGACCUGGGAUGGGAAGAGGCCCAGAGGGCCUGCAUGAAUUAACACCUGGACCGGAUGGAGGAAAUGAUCCGGGUGGCAAAAGCCGCAGCAGAGAAGCAAGAUGCGGCAGUGAUGGGGCUUUCUACCGGGGUUCAUCCACACCAAAGGCUGAAGCUGGGAAAUACCUCUGCAUAUUUUACCAUGGGACCUUUAGUGCAAGACACCCACAUCUGGAUUAUGUGAGGCUGUGUGGAUUGUGCUGCUGUUGAUGGUGGAAGCAAACACUGGCUUUCAAACAUAGGAAAGACUUGAGAAGCUCUUUCACAUAAGACAGAAAAAAGACUAGUCAAAUACUUCUUUUCAGAUACCGUCCCUAAGGUUGACUACAAAUCAAAAUCAGAAUUGAAAUUGGAGUUCCCACUGUGGCACAAUGAGUUUGGUGGUGUCUCUAGAGUGCCAGGAUGAUCCCUGGCCCAGCACAGUGGGUUAAAGGAUCCAGUGUUGUCGCAGAUGUGGCUUGGAUCUGACCCCUGGCCCUGGAACUCCGUAUGCUGAGGGGUGGCUGAAAAAGAAGCAAAAUAAAACAAACAAAUAAAAUCAAAAUAGAAAUCUAAAUGUAAACUCAAAAUAGAAACUAGCAAAUAGAAAAUCUUCAAAAAGGCUGUUUUCUUAAAAUUUUAAAAUUCGGAGUUAAAUUGAGCACAUACAUGUUAGGCAUAAUCCACACAAAACUUGAAAAUAAGAUAUUAUAAAUUCUGUACUUAUUGAAGCUUUAAUUAUGAACAAAAUAAGAAAAUGAACAAGACAAUUGUUCUAGUCCAAUAGAGAACUUGAAUUUGGAUACAUCAUCAGAUGAAAUUCUUGCGACUGAAGAAUAUUCAAGAAUUCAUAUUCAAGAAUAGUCAACAUUCUUCAUUAAAUGAUAUGCAAAGAUGCUUAUUCAUAUCAACAUCACAACCCAGAAACAUCAAAUGCAACUCUGUGUGUUCCUUUAAAUGAUGAAAAAACAACAUGCAUGCCCUGCCAAUGGGAUGAGAAAGAUGAACUCUCUAGAGCUUUACUGUUUAUUAGAUGAUUAUCUUGGAAAAUAGCCCAUGUGGCUUUUUGACAGCGUGAGAAUGUUUCUUGCAAAACAUAUUCUGAUGCAAGUAAAUUAUUUUGAUUUUCCAUUGCCUGAAUAUCACAGAAAAUUUAACACUUCAUUUUAUAUCAAAAUUCAUUCAACUGGAAAAAAAAACUGUGGGAACUGGCUUUUAUAUUCUAAUUUCAAAGACAAAGUACUUUGUUCUUACUGUCAAAUGCAUCACAACCAGGUUUCAAGGUUAGCUUCAAAAUGAAGAUAUUUGCUGCUAAAAAAGCUUGGAGUCUCAAAAGACCACAAAAUGUCAAAUGUACAUACAUAUACAAACACAAAACAAAAUGUGCGAUUUCUAGAGCUUUUGAAACUUUAAACAACAAAAAUUGAUAGUAUUUGGCAAACAAAGUAACACUGAUAUAAGAUGUUAGCAUGAUGUGUUAAAAGAAUAAUAUAUAUUCUCUAUUUAGCCCAAGAUUUUCACAGCACAAACAGUAGAACAUUUACAGAGAGCAAUAGUAAAUUUCUAGUUUUAUUAGAAGUUAUUUAGCAAUUUGAUGCUAUGAUGAGUGAACAUGUAAGUGGAGUGAAAAAUGAAGAGGAAAUUCAAAAUAAGAGUUUAAAAGUCUGUACUUGUAAUAAUGUGGGAAAAUUAAUCAUCUCCCAAGUUAAAAAUCUAAUAAUACAAAUUCCAAUUGCACUGUAUAACAAACAAGUUCUUUUGAAAAAUAAUUUUUAUUGAACAUGUUUUCAAAUUACCCCUCCCCCCCAAAAACCCAACAAAAUUGAAAUUAAAGAUUGCUUAAUUUUUGUAUGUGUUGUAAAACAUGUAAGUUUGGAUUUUAGUGAAGAUACUUUAACAACUUUCUGUUUCUGUCUACACUGGCUGCUGUCCCUCCUUGUUCUCCGAGCGGACAGUACUCCUUUUGGAUCCUAGAUGCCAGUUAAAUAAAUUACAUUUUUGGGGGGUGGUUAAAGAAAUCUCACAAUAUUCAGUGUUAGACAUUGAGUUGAAAGAUGAGGCACAUCUAAGAUAAUGGCAUCAACAUAGUUGGUUUGAAAAACAAGUGCAUAAACUCGAAUUUUGGCCCAAAGUUGUGAUCAUUCUUUGUGCCACACAGUGCAUGAUUUGAAUUUGUCACUUGAAACUUCAGUCUGCUCUGUGUCAGUAGCUCAGUAGUGAAGACACUCUGUGGAACAACUAGAUCAAUAUACUAGGUAUUCUCUAGGUCUGCCUACCACGUAUAAGCUUACCAUUUCACUUAGAUACACAGAGAGAAUGUUAAAUACUGCGACAGCAACUCAAUUUCCUUUAAGCAAGAUACAUGAAGUACCCUAGAAAAGGAAUGCAAAAUAACAGACGAUUCCAAAGGGACAUCAAUCUUUGACAAAGAAAAGUGUUUGGUUAUUUGAUAUGAAGUGUUAUUUGCUACUAGUUAUGGUUAUUAUUUGAUGUGAAGUGUUAUUUGCUACUAAUUAUGUUAGCAAAAACUUACAGGGCAUUCAAACAGAUAUUUUUGAUUCGCUUAAAAAUAAUAGUAUAUAUUUUCUUUCAUUUUGAGAAAAAAAUUUGAUUGAAACUGCAUAGAAAAUAAACAACAAAAGUAACACUCCUAUAAAGGGAAAUGAGAAUGUUUGUUUCUCUAUGAAAAAGAUUCAUGUACCCAUAAUCUCUAAAUCUUUUUCUAUAGAGACUAUUUUCCAAACAAAUUAUAGAUUCAGGUAUAGUCUUGAAUGAAGAGUGUGGUCAAUGAAUUGAGUGAUCUGUUAUUGCUUCUUUUUUUAUUUUUUACUAAUAUUACAACAUUGACAUUUUUUUAAAAAGAAAACUUAAGUACUGUAUAGAUAUUGCCAUAAGAGACCAUGAAAGUUGUCUAAGUGGCAGUGACAUAUGAAAUGACAACAGUUUGUAAUAGAUCCUGUGAUUGCGAUAAUUUAUUAUAUGUAGCACCAUUAAGAUAAUUAAACAUCAUUU